UCCGGUGUUUCGUUCCGCGGCUUCACCGCACUUUUUCCUGCAGUCUCCGUCACCCCAGGCAAGCCACAAUACCCACUUGCAUGAUAGUCAUGCAGUAGCCAUGGUUUUCAACUUGAAUAUUUAUUAACUAUUUGCUUGUUUAAAAUAUGGUUAUCGUUGUUCGGUUAUGAUUCUUGGUUAGUGCUUACUUUCUUGCUAUGUUGUUAUGCACCUGGUUAUCAUGCCCUGCUAGUUGCUAGUAUUUCUUUCAUAUGCUUAUGCUUGCUAGUAGUACAUGUUGAUGUUGGUGAUAGUCUUCGGUGCAUGACUACUGUCUGUUCCAAGUACCGUUGUUGUGCAUGUUCCAUUGCAUCCAGCUGGUCAAAUGCUUGCAUGAUGGCAUUGUUGAUAUGUUCUUGCAUGAUAUUUAUUGUUGAUGCUAGUGUUCAUGCUAUGUCUCGGAGAAGUAUGUUCUUGUGAUGUUCAUGCUAGUCAGUAUGCCAUGCUCAGUUGGACAUAAUUCAUUGUGGAUAUGGUGGAUAGUUAUGUUGCACCCGUGCUUAUGUUGAUAUCAUGCUCAUGCAUUGUAAUUGCAUCAUGUUAUUUUAUCAUUACUCAGCAUAUUGCAUUCUAGUUUAACCGGAUUAAAUUGAACUUGAACAACUGUUGGCUGAGUCAUGGUGCCACCAUAUCGAGCUGACCAGUGCAACCACGCUUACCUUUAUGGGAAGGUCCUAACUGGGUCUAUUGUCAUGCCUCUCGCCGGUGCCUCCAACGAGGGAAGGUUAUGGGCAUGCGGUACCCUGGCCCGGUAAGCAGACAUAACCUUGUGUGCCCGUUGUUGUUGUUGUUGUACCCGGGUGGUCCUUGUUUGGGACCGUUUAUGUUUUGGCCACGACGGUGGCCGUUGGUGCCUUUGGUAGGCACGGGGCCACCCAGGACUUAGCCCAAAGGGGAGUUGGUCGGAGUGGCCGGGAGAGUGUCACGGCAGUAGAUCGGUUUUGUCAGAACGUCGUUGGUCCACCCGAAUGGGAGUGCGAGGCCAUGGGUUCUGUGGUGUGGGUACAGUGUACUAACCUCUCCAGAGUGUAUAUUAAAUCUAUCGAUAGCCGCGCUCGCAGAUAAGGGCUCAGUUCGUGUCGGUCACACUGUGAGUCAACAAUAUUAAUCAUAAUGUGCUUAAGAACAACCCCGGUUCGAUGACGAGAUAAGUUGGUUGGGAUCGCCGGAAAGAUCAUCGUUUCAGACCAAGUGUUGGUCAUGGUUGGGAUCGCCGGAAAGAUCACCGUUGAGACAAAGUGUUGGUCAUGGUUGGGAUCGCCGGAAGGAUCACUGUUUGGUUACGAGGUAACCCGCACAAAUUAAGUGGUGCAUAUAGUGUCAUCAUGUUGCAUGCUAGUAUCAUCGGAUUUAUAUGUUCAUGCCUUGAUCAUAUCGCUCUAGCGAUAUUAUGUUCAUGUUGUCCAUGCCAUGUUAUCCUGAUGAUCUCAUGAAAAUUCCUGCUUAACCUGUAAUUGCCAUGCUGUUGUUUGUCUUGAAUGCUUCUGGUUAUUGUGAGCUUGCAAGUACAUUCAAUGUACUGACCUGGCGUGUCAUGCCAGUUUGCAGGUCGUGCCUGGAUUGCUUGCUUGUUUGGUGUGGUUCCUGUGUUCGCGAGCUAGGAUAAACGUUCCAGCCAGAGUCCCUGCGGAUUGGAGUCCAUCAUCACCGUCCGUUGUUCCGCUACCAGUAGUUGUUCCGCUGCCUCAACUUGUUAUGCUGCUUGCAUAGAGCAACUGAGGAUGGCGUAGUGUCACCGUGCCGAUGUUAUUCAUUGUAAUAUUAGAGACCUCGUAUUCAUAUUCGUGUAAUAAUAGAAAGCUGGUUUGUUCUAUGCUAAGCAGUGCCGUAUUCCAGAAGACUUCACCUCGAUCUCUGGGCUGGAAUACGGGGCGUUCCGGUUUCUCUGAGCCGGGGUGCCAGAAACCACACUUACUAAAUCGAGCAAUUUUAG
rnacentral:lncRNA from 1 species